AUGGAAAUAAACCCAUUAAGUAUAAUUCUUGUAAAAAGCGAUAGUAAAGGCGACAGACUUUUGUUCCGAUAUCCGCAUACAACAAAACACACACGAGAUUCUAAUCAAUAUACUAAAAAGAGAAAUCCAUAUUCACUCACUAUUACAGAAGAUCUAUUACAGUCUUUACCUUUUCCAACUUCUAAUAUAAGCAAUGGAAACUUAACCGGAGUAAAUGAUGAAGUAUUAUCAACUUUAUUCGCUGUUAAACCAGAAUUAUGCGAACAAAAGUUUGAGCUAAAAGUAAAUGAUGUACGUUUUGUUGGGCAUCCAACUUUAGUUCCAUCUCAUGGAUUAAAAGAAGUUAAUUCUUCUAUGCUUUUCAAUAUAGUCUUUGCCCUUCAAGCUCAAGCAAGUCAUUCUAUUGUAAAAUGUUAUUAUGAUUUAAGCACAAGACUUGGAAUAGCUUUAAGGCACGAAGAAAGGAGGUGUGGAUUUUUAACAGAAGAAAUUAAAAUUAUGGUUUCUACUCAUGAUGAAAUUGCUACUAGAUCAGAAGGUGAAAGCGAUUGUGACGAAUCACCGUACGAAUUAAUAUUACAAAGAAGUUCACUUGCACGUGAUUUAAAGUCCGUAUUUAGUAGUCUUAGUACUUCUGGUAUAAUUAAUAUUAUGAUCAACAAAUGGAUUCAAGUGCGUUUCUGUCUCCCACAAAAAGUUCAUCAAUCCCAUGAAAAGGGAUUCGUCAUUAAUCCAGAAAUAAUAGACAGAUGUUUAAAUAGUUUAAGACCUUAUCAUGGUUUAUUGUUGCUUAUCGAACCGUCAGAUUUAUUGGAUUCGCUUCCAAUAGAUUCUUCACCGGCUCUUAAACGUUUAAUUCAAAUGUACAGUCCUUUGAAAAAUUUACAAACAUUGGCUGCUGAUUCUGAUUUGACGCUUACACAAGUUUUUCAAUUAACUGGUCAUUUAGUAUAUUGGGCCAAAGCUACCAUAAUUUAUCCCCUUUGUGAAAGUAACGUCUACGUUGUUUCUCCAGAUGCUAUUAUUACCAAUCAGUUGUUAGAAAUAUUUUCCGAAGAAUUUCCAGGAUUCUGCCUUUUACAAGUUCUUAGUGAUUUUUCAUUACCGACAUCCAUAAGUCAAAAAUUAAAUCCUUUGAAUCAAUUACAACAACAAACGCAAUUAGUGAAAAUAAUAAUAUGGUUGUUAAAGAAUCAUUUACUGUUACAAUUACACACGUAUGUACAAUAUAUGCCAAUGGUGCAUGGGAGGGUGUUGGAUACAAAGGAUGAAAUGAAUCAUAAUGUAAACGAGAUUAUACAUAGCAGUAACAAUGCAUGGAAUUUAAGUGAAAUUUCGAAAGGGAACACCGUAGAUAUGGCAGAGGAAUUAACAAUGUCUUUCCGUAAAGAAAACGAAAUGUACAAUUAUCAGUCAGAAGAUUAUGAUAUUCCUUCCGAUGACAGAAAGUUGCUGGACAGACUCUGUCGUCUCGGUUAUUUUAAUGGAAACCGCCAUUUAGAAGAGAUCAUGUAUUUAGAAAAUAUUCGUAGGUCACAAUUAUUGCAAAUUUUAGAUAAAUUUCGAGAUGUAUUGAUUACAUGUGAAUGCGAAGAUCCUGCUAUAGCUCUUUUAUAUAGUCAGUUUAGUUCUUAAUUUACCUGUGUAAUUAUUACUAAUUAGAGAAGCUAUAAACAUAUAAUAAUUAACACUGUUGUAAAAGGUUACAAUUUUAACAAUUACACGGCUUUCACCUAUUUCUCAUUGCGAGCGUUGAAAAUUUUACCAACAGUUGAUUUUUUACUCAACUAAGAACAAAGAAAGGUAAAACAGACCAGAAAUUUAGUUCCUCGUGUUUUCUGUAGAGCGCAGUUCAUUCGUUUAGUAUGCUUGGCAGCGCAAUCAUUCGCAGCUCGUGUAUGUAUUUAUGUGGUUCAAUUGUGGAUUAGACCCCUGUGGUUCGGGGGGAUUAGAAUACGGCCACGGUAUCCCCUGCCUGUCGUAAGAGGCGACUAAAAGGGGACACACACACACCCAGACUGAAGCAAAAAAUUGUAAAAGUAUGGCAAAAAACAGAAGCAAAAGUAUGGCAAGUGUAUGAAACAAUGUAAAAUGCAAAAGGGAAUGAGAUUUGAAAAAAGGCGUGCAAAGCGCGUGUGGUCGGAAAUGUUCGUUGGGCAAAAAGGGACAGUAAAAGUCUCCAAAGUACGCCGCCCGGAGGAAACGGGAUGUAAAAAUGCAUCCUUUUUUGCCGAAGUAAAUUGUGGAUUAGGUAUGAAAAAUACAAGAAACAGAAGACAAAGUUGAAGAGAAAACCGGAGUCAUGACGUCUGACAUCAUUUUCAUAUUGUCUUCAGAAAUGCUUUCAAAGCAAUUAGAAGUUUCUACCGAUGCCUGUGAUUGGUCCUUCCAUUAUGGCGUCCUCCCAUUUCGACCAAUCAGAUUCAUCGUUAAAGGGUGCGUUGCGGGGAGUGCGGUGGAGUGCAACAGUCCUCUUCGAAGCUUCGUCCGUUUGGCACGUGUCUGCAACAGGGAGGGAAUCAUCGACCUUCGUCGGCGCGGAUCGAGGAGCCUAGCCGGAGCGACGAGUGGUUCGCGACCUUAGACAAUGCGACCUGAACACGAAACAUCCGCGAACCGUGACCACUUCUGCCAGCGAAACCGAGGGCAACAAAGAAGGGAGUGGUUUUUCUGUCCAGCCUCCCGAGGCAUUUUACGAUUGCCCGUGGCGUACGAGCUUACGCCGUUGGAUUUGCGCAGAAGGAUCGGUAAAAUAACAUGGACUAAGAGAAGGACGGGCUAGAGUAGUGCGAAGUGAGAUUACAUGGAGGAGAGAGGAUGAGAGACCCAACUUGAACACACCAAAAUGGCGGAGGCCCAGAGGGUUGGAGGUGGCACGUGUUUGACAGCCUAACCCAGUGGCGUAAUAAUGAAUUUAUACCGAUCCUACUCGGAAUUUACAACCCUUAGGAAACACGAUUCCUACGAUAAAAAAGAUGUUCAGACUUAAAUGUCAAAGUAUCGUUUCAUCGGUAUUUCUUUAACGAGCACCGUAAUCUUUAUAAAAUAGGAGAAAUAUAAAAUAACAGAGAAUAAUAAGUUAAAUUAUCAUUCGAACAUAAAAUUAAUUGGAUCGAGUUAAUCCAACUAAGGAACACGCAUUCCAUUUUGACGCGAAGCUUAACGGAAAAAUUCUUAUCUUCGGUUUCUAAACCCUACGCCUUUGAGGUCCGACCACCUCCGCGUGCCACCCCAACUACACCCCUAAUGACGUCAUAGGACAGUGGCGCCAACAACCCUGCACUGACGUCAGCUCCGAGCAGCGGCCAACCGAGUUACCUUUGCACCAUAAAUUCUCAACUUUUCCUCUUUCGUUGAUACGCGAUAAAGGGAGAAAAAAAUGUAGAUAGAAAGAGAGAGAGAAAACAGAAGAAGAAAAGAAUAUUUUUACGAUAUUCGUAAAAAUACUUUUACGAUAAGGUGUUUGCCAAAAUUGAAACCGUGCUUCACAGCAGACUUGGACGCUUAUAAACUAACGUUUCAGAUAUUAUUUUAAACGAUAUUCGUUAAUCUAUCGGGGGUGUUUGAAGAAUUCGUGACGAUCGUUACGGUAAACAGCCCGCAUACCGGGUUUAUUGAGUCGGCGUGAAACAGCAGGUUCGUCAUUGAUUCGCUAUGACGACGGCAAUGACGAUUUCGUUCGUCAUUCGUUACCUGAGUUUUCAUUGCAAUUACCUUACCUUUCUGCUCUCCGAUUGGUUAAAAGUCGGUUUAUUUUUGAACUUGCACGCUCGCGAUCGUAUCGCUACCGUUCAUCGCAUUAACCUUCUCUCGCAAUCACGAAUUUCUUCAAUGUAUGUUAUUUUUUGACAAAUCGCUUAUUUAUUAUUAACUCGGUAGCUUUUUAGAAAACAGCUAACAACCCCUUCUGGCGUAGUGAUAGGAAUUUCGAUGAAUUAAAAGCAAAAGAUUCGGGCGUAGAACGAUGUUACAGAUAAAAUAAGAAGAAAACAAAAUACCGUAGACGGUAUUGGCAUGGGGGAUCGAUUUCGGAUAAAGCGAUAACUUUACCGCGAAACACGUUCGAAAUUUCGCGUCACGAGGACAUGAAUUAACGGACGUUGUUAAAUUUAAUCGCGGCUUCUCGUUCAAUAUUGUACCUUGUUUAAGAAUAGCUUCGUUCAAGCUGCUCAAUUUAAUCCUAUUCAAGAUCCCGCUACAUCGUUUCCAUUCUCCUUCUUCUUUUUUUCUCCCCCUUGGAAUUUACCGUUUCAAUUCGGAUAACAGACGUUGAAUGAAGUCGAGAAACGAUGACGCUCGAGCGUAAUUCGAUGUUACUAGCCUGGUACACGUGCGAGUGUAACUAUUCGAGAGCACCGAAACAAUAAGUAGGGAUCGUUUGCGAAAUUUAGACGCAACUCUGUUCUAAUUUUACCUCGACCCUUAAUUCUCGUUCGAGCCUGAACGUUUCGACGUAUCCAUCGUGAAUGGAUUGUCCAUAAAACUGGUAACGGUCCAGGAAUAUUAUCAUUAUAAUUAUUAUUCUUAUUAUCUACCAUGGAACUUUACGUUCGUAAAACAAGCCCUAUUUACUCGUAGCAUCCAUAAAUACCGCUUGAACUUGUAACACCAUUCCCGUUCGCGUGACAAAACGUUCGAGGGAUAAAAAUGUGUAUGUACAUACUUGAUAAUCGAAACAAUCGAUGCUCCUGAAGAUUUCAUAGAAAAGAAAAGAAAAAUCGUGACACGUGUACAGGGUGUAAGAAAAAUUAAUGGUCAUGGCUUCAAUUAAUGGUCUCUUUUCGGCCAGUUUUCAGCAGCCACGCCCUAAGGCCCACUGUGGCUCUCGCGCAGGGCAGGGCGAGUGGUGGGAGAAAAGGGGCGUUGCCUCUGAAACUGGCCGAAAGGAGCGCUCAAUCCCGGGCCAAUCACCACUCGAACGAUGGGCCCUGGCGCAAUGGUCUCCGUACCCCUUCCCUAAACGGACGCUGACAGUAGACCCCGUUCGAAAAGAAUAUUCUUCUUUUUGAAUGCACCUCUAUCGAAAGGAAGUUCGUUAGAGAAGCGAAGCGUUUGUCGUUGACGUAUCUUAAUUGAGAAAUAAUGCGUUCAUCCCACGCUCGCAACAUCCUCGUGCGUAAAGAGACGUGUCGGUAGAGAUUUACAUGGACACGUAGGUGCGUGUGUAAGUAUGCUUACGUUCGCUUUCACGACGAUUCAUUGUCAGUGGUAUACGCGACGUCCUCGCAUACGGACCGGGAACAAACGAACGCGAAUCCCUCUUUUUAUUGUCGCGACUAUGACGUCAAUUCUCUCUAAUCUUGGCGCUCAUUUCCGAAAAUUACGAUACCGCCGCACCGCGCCGUACCGGUAGGCCAACGUACCAGCGACGGACGUUUAGGACGAUCAUCGGUUUCCUGAUUACGAUCCCCCAGGCGUUUUACAAACGAUUUCGCCUUGUCGCUUGUGACUUUUUAUUUUCCGAAAUCAAAUCCAUAUGUACCAUUUAGGUAUGAUCCCCAUCACGAGUCAUUGACGCUACGAUUCUUCUCUGAUCGAUCGGUUAAUGAAUUAAGACAGAAGCGGUCCAUUAAAAUAUAUAAUGUUAAUAUUUAUUGAUAUAUAAGUAUAAACAAAAUAGGCAUUACGUGAAUAAACAAUGCAGGCUACAAACGUAAUCGUACAACGUGAAUUGAAUAUAGGAACAUUGUAACAAGAUGCAUCGUCUAUUAAUUUUUCUUCUCGUAUUGUUUUGAAGAAACGCGACGUCGCUUCACGAAUUCGUGAUUAAAAGACUAGAAUGGAUUUUCCAUUUCCAACGCGAUCGUUAUAAAAUUAUUAAUUCAUCGUACAAUCGUUUUCCUUCUUCAGUUAUAGCUUGUAUUAUUUAUUACAUGCUACGUAAUACUAAAUAAAGCAUUCUCAGUUAUCGAUGAAAUAAAUAUUAAUAUUGGAAACGAUGUGCAACGGAAUAAGUUACACGGAAUAAAUAACAACAACGUAUACAAUGUUCCGAUGAACAUAUACUAAGCAACCUGUUCUCUCCUAAAGAAAAAACUGUCUUUUAUUCUUCAAGCUUGAGUCAGACGCAUCUUUUGGGGAUAGCAUAUUCCCAUAACAGUCGUUUUAACGCGUUCACUGCCUUGUAACGAUAAACGCUUAUUAUUAUCAUCAUUAGCGUAAUAAUUACUUUUGUGGCAAUUAACGCGUUAAGGAUCGUUUCAACGAGGAGUUAACUUUACAAGCAUACCAAUGAAAAUCGAUGUUCAGUCUCGAUCAACAGGUUGCCUCUUAUCGACGACAAAUCUUUUCACAUAAAUACGCGUUAAUGAUUAAACAGAGAUCGCUCGAAGUUGAAGAGAAACAGAUUUAACCCCUUGCCUCGUGAUACCUUUUUAAAUUAUCUGCUUCAAUCAUAGUUCUACCUGUUAAAAAUUUCAAACGGUAAAUAGCUGAUUCUCCAAAGUACAUAAUUGCAAAAAUUCUUGAGACAAGCGAUUAAAGCGAUUCAGAUCGAAUGACGUUCAACCGAGACUCAACGAUAUUUACCUUCCUCUUAUACGCGACUUUACGAGAUACAAUGGCAUUAACAACGAUAAUAAUCGAGGACGCGAUAAUUGUAGCAUAUAACGAUUACAAAAAAAAAAAAAGAAAUGGGAAA